rnacentral:rRNA from 1 species
UGCAAGUCGAGCGGGCCCUUCGGGGUCAGCGGCAGACGGGUGAGUAACGCGUGGGAACGUGCCCUUCGGUUCGGAAUAACUCAGGGAAACUUGAGCUAAUACCGGAUACGCCCAUGGCCUCUGGCCCUGGGGAAAGGUUUACUGCCGAAGGAUCGGCCCGCGUCUGAUUAGCUAGUUGGUGAGGUUAUGGCUCACCAAGGCGACGAUCAGUAGCUGGUCUGAGAGGAUGAUCAGCCACACUGGGACUGAGACACGGCCCAGACUCCUACGGGAGGCAGCAGUGGGGAAUAUUGGACAAUGGGGGCAACCCUGAUCCAGCCAUGCCGCGUGAGUGAUGACGGCCUUAGGGUUGUAAAGCUCUUUUCUCCGGGACGAUAAUGACGGUACCGGAGGAAUAAGCCCCGGCUAACUUCGUGCCAGCAGCCGCGGUAAUACGAAGGGGGCUAGCGUUGCUCGGAAUCACUGGGCGUAAAGGGCGCGUAGGCGGCUGAUUUAGUCGAGGGUGAAAGCCCGUGGCUCAACCACGGAAUGGCCUUCGAUACUGAUUGGCUUGAGACCGGAAGAGGACAGCGGAACUGCGAGUGUAGAGGUGAAAUUCGUAGAUAUUCGCAAGAACACCAGUGGCGAAGG